rnacentral:rRNA from 1 species
UACGUAGGUGACCAGCGUUGUCCGGAUUUACUGGGCGUAAAGAGCGCGCAGGCGGUCGUUCAAGUCGAGUGUGAAAGCCCCCGGCUCAACUGGGGAGGGUCAUUCGAUACUGAUCGACUUGAAGGCAGGAGAGGGAAGCGGAAUUCCCGGUGUAGUGGUGAAAUGCGUAGAUAUCGGGAGGAACACCAGUGGCGAAGGCGGCUUCCUGGCCUGUUCUUGACGCUGAGGCGCGAAAAGCUGAGGGGA